rnacentral:tRNA from 1 species
GCCGGUAGCUCAGCGGUUAGAGCAUUGGCCUGCGCACCAAAGGGGUGUGGGUUCGAUUCCCAGUCAAGGGCA